rnacentral:misc_RNA from 1 species
GAUGAAGAACGUAGCGAAAUGCGAUAAGUAAUGCGAAUUGCAGAAUUCCAGUGAGUCAUCGAAUCUUUGAACGCACAUUGCGCCCUUUGGUAUUCCGAAGGGCAUGCCUGUUCGAGCGUCAUUAUCACCCCUCAAGCCCUCGGCUUGGUGUUGGACGGUUUGGUGGAGGCCCCCUCGGGGGCUCCUGCCCCUCCCAAAGACAAUGACGGCGGCCUCGUUGGACCCCCGGUACACUGAGUUCUUCACGGGACACGUAUCGGACACAUGGGUUUACGGGACACGGUCUGCCUCCCCUCAGGGAGAAUCUUUCUAAGGUUGACCUCGGAUAAGGUAGGGAUACCCGCUGAACUUAAGCAUAUCAAUAAGCGGAGGA